ACGCUGGCGGCGUGCUUAACACAUGCAAGUCGAACGAUGAAAUUCUGACGGAGACUUCGGUCAACUGAGGGAUGACUUAGUGGCGGACGGGUGAGUAACGCGUGAGUAACCUGCCUUUCAGAGGGGGAUAACAGUUGGAAACGACUGCUAAUACCGCAUAACGUAACGAGAUCGCAUGGUCUUGUUACCAAAGCUGAGGCGCUGAAAGAUGGACUCGCGUCUGAUUAGCUAGUUGGUGGGGUAACGGCCUACCAAGGCGACGAUCAGUAGCCGGACUGAGAGGUUGAACGGCCACAUUGGGACUGAGAUACGGCCCAGACUCCUACGGGAGGCAGCAGUCGGGAAUAUUGCGCAAUGGAGGAAACUCUGACGCAGUGACGCCGCGUAUAGGAAGAAGUUUUUCGGAAUGUAAACUAUUGUCGUUAGGGAAGAGAAAGGACGGUACCUAAGGAGGAAGCCCCGGCUAACUAUGUG
rnacentral:rRNA from 1 species